rnacentral:rRNA from 1 species
CUUGGUGACAAUAGAGACUUGGUCCCACUCCUUCCCAUCUCGAACAGGACAGUGAAACGAGUCAUCGCCGAUGAUAGUGUGGUUCGCCCAUGCGAAAGUAGGACAUUGCCAGGC